AAGCCUUAAAUCAUCUAGUCAAUCACUCAUCACACAUAGACCAAGGCACAUCUCAACUUGGUCUCUCACUUUGUCACCAAAGUGUCACGACAGUUUCCAAGACCCCUCAUAUAAUCUCUAAUGGGGAUCAGUCGGAGCACGUAGGAAUGCCGACCACUACAUAAGCCACGUCUGGCUGAGGCGAGCAGCAAGCGGGGGAGAGUCUUUUUAAGUACAGGAACGUUGGGGUGGGAUGCUAGUACUUAAACUAGGGUUGCUUCUUAGCGCUAAUCUUGCAUUUUUAGUAGUUAGUUGUAGCGUGCCUUCCCUCCUUCUCUCAUUUCAGAAAGAUUUGGCAGUAUUUUCUUAUGAUGACCUGGUCGGGAGAGUACAAAACAUCGGUGCAAAAGAUUGAGUGGGAUGGUUAUAGUAAGGGCGAACCAAGUGCUUGCACGAAGAAGCGAAUCAAUCAAAAUGGAGACAAGGAAAGGAGGAGACGUGAAACUCAACUAAAAUGGAAAAGGGAACUCAACCGACUAUCAUGAGCGAAGUGAGGGAAUUCCUUCUAAUUCGAUCCCUUAGGAGAGAGACAUAAGGUAUUAUUAAACAGAGUCAGAUCUUUGACGACUCCCUAGUGGCCAGGGAAGCGUUAGCUUCACCCUUUGAACGUCUCAUUUACUCUCUCUAGCUCUCAACUUUAAGUAUAGGAAUUUCAGGUACAUUGGUCGAUGAAAGUGAACAUCUAUCUUAUCUUACGCCACUUACUCUAGCUUGACUUUGUGGAAGACAUCUGAUUGAAUGAUCUCCAGUGGGUUCUAUUACCAUGUGUACCCAACCUGCUUCCUUCUUUUUUACUAGCCUCUCUGCUUCUAUCAGUAUAGAGGAAAGUCUACAAUCCCUUGAGAGAAAGAAAAAAAGGCCAAAAAAAGAUACCUAGCAUGACACAUCAGCUACGCCAUCAGAGCCUGUCCACUUGCUAGUCAGGAAAAACAACCACUCUAUUUCGUGGGCUUCUUUCGUAGCCCUCUUCACGCUCGCUUUACAAGUGCAACCAAGUUCAAUAAACUGUUCAUGCAAAUUCAUAGACUGUGCGGGUUUCCAUCUGAGAGUCUUGUGAGACGCUUCCUUCUCAUACACAUCUGAAGGAAUGUUUGAUCAUCAGCAUUAGAGAGUUUUGCAGAUCCUUGAGAGAACGUUAUCCAGCCACCAUGGUCUAAGGUGAAAUUGGUCCUGGUCCAUAAAACGAAAGGUGUUGGGCAAGUGCAGAGAAGUUGUCUGAAGGGGAAUUCCAUAGGAAUAUUCAACUUCGAUCAACCUCUGGCGGAUCCACUUCGGAUUAACUUGAUUAAACAGGGUUAAGUCACCUAACAUGCGACACCCAUGCCUAAGCCAAGUUAACACGAAGUGCCGUCGGAUUUCAUCCGAUUAACCACGUGAACAGGAUCGAGUUAGCAAACUCACACAAAAGUGAGUGGUUCCAGAGAAUACAACAAGUCCACCGAGUUAAACAACUUAACCAUUUAGUUCGGCCAGAAAAACAAAUCAUCAGAGUUUUACAGGGUUUCAAAAGAAAACAAUAGAAGGUAAAACAGCAAGCGGAAGCUAAACGCAGGGGUCGGACGUCCUUGGUGAGGCCAGCCAAGACGUCAGUGAUCCCUUUCCUCGCCGUCCGAGGAGGGAUCCCACUUGACCGUCCAACCCGAAGGGAGCUGGGGCGGCCAAGUGCUAACGGAAGAGGGCUCGGGAGCAGCAACUUCACCUGAAAAGAAAGGCCACAACAAGGCUGAGCUACUAAGCUCAACAAGACUUAACCGACAGGAGUAAAGCUACUCCACCUUUUCUAGACAUGCAAGGCUCUUUGGCUGAGGGGUUUGUUUGCCAAAAGCACUAUGUAGAUCCCUAUUUUCAAGUUUUAGCUCAGGUUCUAAGUUCAUGAUCCGGUCUAAGUUAGCAACUUAUUCUAAGCAAACAUAGAACCAAUCCAAAAGGUAUAUAAAUAUAUAUAAUCAACAAAACCAUGUCAUCAUCAUCUUUCUUUCUUACUCAGGGUAGCAUAGCGAUCAAGCAGUCUCAAACUGUGAGAGGCAGAUGAAUCGAUUCGAGUUCUUUAACCAUGCAUGGUGAACCUAACCUCACGACAUCUGCACACCACCGAGGGUCACUUCCUGUGUCGGCCUUCCCCAUCAAUCCCCUAACCCGUGUCGGGCCCAUUUCCUUUGGUGCAAGGUUCCACAGACCCGGCCUCUGCCGUUCUGCGACCAUGCUUGCCACCAUGUGCGACAGCUAGCAGGGGAAACUCCAUUCCAAGAAAAAUGGGGCGACCGCUCACGUCUACGUUCAAUCCGGUACUAGGCUUCCUCAUCCCAUACUAAGUAUGAGGUUAGUACUUUUAAACACUUGAUCACGAACACCACCACUGUCGGGCCUUAGCAAGUUUCAUAGACAGACGGGGCGAUCAACCGACCACCAAAUAGUUACCCAAAACCCUGCCCCGUCCAUCAUCCUUACAGUUGUAACAGAAGAGAAACAACCAACUCCUACAACACGUGAGUGAUAGGAAUCACUCGGCUUUUACCGUUUCCUAUUUAAGCAAGCAUCUACUCGAUCCUACAGCUAGUGUUCAGAUCAAGGGAGCUAGGUAUGCAUCUAUGGUUCCAAACAACUCCUACACGUAAAUGCACAAGCAUGUUUAAAGAAGGCAUGCGCAAGUUUGGAAAACAUAGGGGUUUCAUGCGUCCGGGGCUUGCCUUCAAGCGAGAAAGGAGGAAGCCGCUCUUCUGCUUGGGCGGCUUCGGCUUCUGGGGGCAGGAGCUCGGCUACACCGUCGUCUUCUGGCGCCGGGUGUAGCUCAUAGUAGUCGUCGGCGAGACGCAGCUCUACACGAAUGCAAUGCAAGAGUUAGCAUUUAGACGGUUAUUUUAACAGCAACACUUGCAAGUCUGAGCCCAGAAACUUGCGACAAGUUACAGGAGGGUGGGGAGGUUCAAAGGAGUUGAUGGAGGUCAAGAGGUAAGGGUCGGAGGAAAGGAACUUAUGAUCUGACCCUUAAUCUAGAAGAUUUGGUGUGCUAGGGGUCCUCCGACUCAACGCUGAAAGGUCCCCAAGUUUUACACAUACACCCUUGGUUCAAAGAAAAAGGAUACAGCCGAGCCCUCAAGCGAGGCGGAGAAGGGUCAGCGGAACAGACAGGGUCGGGCGAGACGGAACCGGGGUCGGGCGGAUAAGAGGGGUUGGGCGAAGCGGACAAGGGUCGGCAGAACAGAUAGGGUCGGGCGAGACGGAAAAGGGGUCGGGCGGAUGGAAGGGUCGGACGAGGCGGACAAGGGGUCGGACGAACAGAAGGGUCGGACGAGGCGGAAAAGGGGUCAGCAGCUUACCUUCGUCUUACAAGGAAAGCUUGGGGUCGGGAAAGAGCAGGUUCGGGCACAGGAAUUGGAACGCUAAGACAUGCAACGGAGAUGUCUGGCGGUGCUUCUUGUGGAUCACAAGUAAGCUCUUACGCACCACGGAGGAGCAAGCGGCUGGGUGGAUUGGGGAAAGCGGUGUGGAGCGGAGAGGAGAGUUCCUCAGGAACUUAGGCUGUAGCACUUUGAGCACGAAGCAGAGGAGCAAGGGAGAUGGUAGUUAGAGCAAGGGAAACUCCGGCGGGGCUUGCGCAUCCCUUUUUAUAGCUGCGCGGAAGAGGGAAGGGGGAGCGGCGCGAAGGCCGGGGAAGAAGCAAUGGAGUGCUCUGCCCGGGCGGCGAUUGAGCGACGAGGGCGGUGGAGCAGGACUUUGGGGAUGACACCUUCAGCUAUUGGGCACUGGAGAUAGGGCGGCGCAGGCGGGGACUUGCCGGUGGUUGAGUUUUGGCGGAUGUGGGCGUCGUCAUGCGGUGGAUAUGAUGGAUGUGAUAGAGGGAACGGUGCUAGAAGCGAGGUUGCUCAGGUGAGAGGUCAGGCGGGCUGCUGCUGCACGGGCGAGCGCGAAGCAACACUCUAUCGAGGCGCAGAUCUGGCAAGGCGGAAAGGAGCUAUCGCGGCCAGGGCCGGGGUUGGCGGAGGAGGAAUCGUCGCGUAGCGCGGACCUAGGCAGCGCGACUGUGAAGGGGCGACGGAAAAAUCGGGAGACAUCGGGACUUGCAGCCGGGGGUCUGGCGAGGUGAUGAUGGGCGCGAGCGACGAGGCACUGCAGAAAAAGUUGCAGAGGGCUUCCGCUGCAAUUGGGGAAAGGGGGCGCGGGAAUCCACCUGGUCGCGGCCGGCGACGGGGCGAAGCGGCGGGUGUCGGAGGAAUUGAGCCACGCGGCGAAAAAGCGCUGAAGCGAGCAUGCCACUCGAGUGCGUCUGCACCAGGAGAUCUGGGAAAAAUAUUGCGGGUCCACGGGUCAGUCUCGGUUGGUCCACUGCUCAUAUUGAAAGGAGGAGGUGUUGUGGGAAGACUUAGAAGAUCAGGCGGGGUGGGUUGGGGUCGGCGGGGUCGGAACUGGAGAAACGGCAAGGAGGGGUCGGUUCUCAGGGGUCGGGACCAGACUAGAGGUUGAGCACUUAGGCAUGGAAAAACUAAGACAGGUGAUCAGGGGCUCGGGUUAAGAUUGACGCGAAGGAUUUUUGUCCGAGGCCGUCACACAACCUUGGUCCCAUGCCUAAAAAAGAAAGAAGGUCCAAAAUAGGGGUGAUAUAAUCCACUGCUCGCCUAAGAAUAUACUGAUGUAAUCCCUACUAUGGCUUCCCGAAGGAUCUAGCAGCUAAGAGGGUCCGAGCCAUAACGGAUUGAUGUGACUGUAGUGACGACUGGAAUCGAUCUGAAUGAGGCAGUUAUGGGACUUCUCUUAUCUAACAACAAAUAUCUAGAAGGAUUAAGAAAAAGGUGGGGGUCAAGGUGUAUAAUACGAGCUCCACUUUCACGCAAUGAGCUAGCUUAACCCUGAUUGCUUAAGGUUUAAUACAGUCAU
rnacentral:lncRNA from 1 species